CUAUUCUCUUCUCUGCACAACAAGAAAUUCUGGGUUAUUUUCCAAAAAGGCGCAACAUUCGCCAAAACACAAGCAAAGCACAAGAACCCAUAACAAAUGCUCUCUCUGACCCCAAAGCCCAAAGCUUUACUUGUUUCUUCACUUCAUCACUGCCUUCUCCAGUUUUCUCUACCUUUUUCUCACUCAUAGUUACCACACACAGAGCCAACUACUGUAAUAAUAUCAACAAUUUAUGGAGUUAGAGUGAAUAUAACUGCCCAACAAGACAAGCUAAGUACUAGAGAGAGAAAAAAAGAAUACAGAGUAGUGGGUUUUGGUUGGUGAAACUUGAUAUGGCCUUCGCUUCUAUCUUUUGUUGUGGAAAGCGUUUGGAUCGGAAAGAGCGAGGAAAGAAACAGCCAACAUGGCGGAUCUUCUCCUUGAAGGAACUACAUGCAGCUACAAACAACUUCAAUUAUGAUAACAAGCUGGGAGAAGGAGGAUUUGGCAGUGUUUACUGGGGUCAGCUUUGGGAUGGAUCACAAAUUGCUGUUAAAAGGUUGAAGGCCUGGAGCAACAAAGCAGAUAUGGAAUUUGCUGUUGAAGUUGAGAUACUAGCACGUGUUCGACACAAGAAUCUGCUUAGCCUACGUGGUUAUUGUGCUGAAGGACAAGAGCGUCUCAUUGUAUAUGACUAUAUGCCUAAUUUGAGCUUGCUUUCUCAUCUUCAUGGGCAGCACUCAGCAGAGUGUCAUCUUGACUGGAAGAGGCGGAUGAAUAUUGCCAUGGGUUCUGCAGAGGGUAUCGCCUACCUUCACCACCAUGCAACCCCACAUAUCAUCCACAGAGACAUCAAAGCUAGCAAUGUGUUGCUAGAUUCAGAUUUCCAGGCACAGGUUGCUGAUUUUGGAUUCGCAAAGCUAAUCCCUGAUGGGGCAACCCAUGUAACCACAAGAGUUAAAGGUACGCUUGGCUACCUUGCCCCUGAAUAUGCUAUGCUGGGGAAGGCAUCAGAGAGCUGUGAUGUGUAUAGCUUUGGCAUUCUCUUGCUAGAGCUUGCCAGUGGCAAGAAACCCCUUGAGAAAACGAGCGGAACCGUGAAACGUACAAUUACUGAUUGGGCUCUGCCAUUGGCAUGUGAAAGGAAGUUCAGUGAGCUGGCAGAUCCAAAGCUAAAUGGUAAGUUUGAGGAAGAAGAGUUGAAAAGAGUUGUUCUUGUUGCUCUCAAGUGUCCCGACAAUCGGCCUGAGACAAGACCCACAAUGCUUGACGUUGUAGAACUACUGAAAGGGGAAUCAAAGGAGAAGUUGGAUGAAUUAGAAAAGGAUGAAUUGUUUACAGCACCCCAGCCUGCUGAUUAUAAUGAUGGAGUAUCAGUUGCUGAAGACAGCUCAGACUUCAUAUCAGAGGAGAGGGAUCCGAGACAAGAAUUGAAGGAAAUUGGGCAAUAGAACACUCCUAAUAGCUUUGAUUUGCGUUUUCUACUAUGUAAAAUUUGGUUUGGUGUACUGGGUUUUUACUUGGAACACUAAGUGGCGCUAGCAACCCAUUUGUUAUAGUUGUCAGGAAAUGAUGGCUGCUGACUGUUGUGAAAGCAUGUUAAUGGCAAUCACGCUUG
rnacentral:misc_RNA from 1 species